rnacentral:rRNA from 1 species
ACGCUGGCGGCGUGCCUAAUGCAUGCAAGCCGAACGGCCCGAUUUAUCGGGCAGUGGCGAACGGGUGAGUAACACGUAAGAACCAACCCUCAAGUGGGGGAUAACCCCGAGAAAUCGGGGCUAAUACCGCAUAAGCUCCCCGAUUAUAUCGGGGAGGAAAGCUGAGGCGCUUGAGGACGGGCUUGCGUCCGAUUAGCUAGUUGGUGGGGUAAUGGCUCACCAAGGCUGAGAUCGGUAGCUGGUCUGAGAGGAUGGUCAGCCACACUGGGACUGAGAUACGGCCCAGACUCCUACGGGAGGCAGCAGCAGGGGAUAUUGCGCAAUGGGUGAAAGCCUGACGCAGCAACGCCGCGUGGGGGAAGAAGGUUUUCGGGUCGUAAACCCCUUUUCUCGGGGAAGAUGGUGACGGUACCCGAGGAAUAAGUCUCGGCUAACUACGUGCCAGCAGCCGCGGUAAGACGUAGGAGGCGAGCGUUAUCCGGAAUUAUUGGGCGUAAAGGGCGUGUAGGCGGCCCUUCAAGUCUUUGGUGAAAUCUCCCGGCUCAACUGGGAGGGUAUCAGAGAAACUGGAGGGCUUGAGGGCAGUAGAGGGGGGUGGAAUUCCCGGUGUAGUGGUGAUAUGCGUAGAUAUCGGGAGGAACACCAGUGGCGAAGGCGGCCCCCUGGGCUGUUCCUGACGCUGAGGCGCGAAAGCGUGGGGAGCAAACAGGAUUAGAUACCCUGGUAGUCCACGCCGCAAACGAUGGACACUAGGUAUGGGGGGUAUCGACCCCCUCCGUGCCGAAGCUUACGCUUUAAGUGUCCCGCCUGGGGAGUACGGCCGCAAGGCUAAAACUCAAAGGAAUGACGG